rnacentral:rRNA from 1 species
GAUCCGCGGCCGCUGCAGAGUUUGAUCCUGGCUCAGAUUGAACGCUGGCGGCAUGCUUUACACAUGCAAGCUGAACGGUAACAGGCCCUUCGGGUGCUGACGCGUGGCGAACGGGUGAGCAACGCAUCGGCACGCACCCGCCCGCCGGGGCACAACGCACCCAAACUCCCCCAACACCCCACACCACCUCACCCCCAAACCCCCCCCCCCUCCCCCACACCCCUCACAUCCUUCCCUCUCACCCUCCCCCACACCCACUUUCCCCCCCCAAACCCUCAUUUAAUCCUCCUUCCCCUCCCACCCCCGUCCCACACC